CAGGCCACGGAUUAGCAGUGCCCGCUGCGCUGAAUUCAAUUCAGCGGCAGAAUCAGCCGACUGCUCCACUCUGCUCCAGUGGACGCGUCGCCAUCAACAGCCUACUGUGCACAGUGAGCAACCGCGAGCAGGGAUCGGGUCACCGGCUAGCACCCCAGCAAGUGCAAAGCCGCCGGCCAUGGAUCCAGACGCAAUCCUCGCCCAGAAACCGCCACCGGCUGAUCGGCGACGUGACGAGCCUGUCCCGCGGUCCCGAAAUGCACCAUUCCACUUGCGUUACAGUAAUCAAGUCUACUCAGCUCAUCCACUGGAAGAGAAGAGAAUGAAAAUUUUUG
rnacentral:misc_RNA from 1 species